rnacentral:rRNA from 1 species
UGCAAGUCGACGAGAAGGGGAGCAAUCCCUGAGUAAAGUGGCGUACGGGUGAGUAACACGUGGGUAAUCUGCCUCUUAGUGGGGAAUAACCCUGGGAAACCGGGGCUAAUACCGCAUAAGCCCGCAAGGGGAAAGCAGCAAUGCGCUGAGAGAGGAGCCCGCGGCUGAUUAGCUAGUUGGUGAGGUAAUGGCCCACCAAGGCUAAGAUCGGUAGCCGGCCUGAGAGGGCACACGGCCACACUGGCACUGAAACACGGGCCAGACUCCUACGGGAGGCAGCAGUGGGGAAUCUUGCACAAUGGGGGAAACCCUGAUGCAGCGACGCCGCGUGAGCGAUGAAGUCCUUCGGGAUGUAAAGCUCUUUCGACGGGAACGAUAAUGACGGUACCCGGAGAAGAAGCUGCGGCUAACUACGUGCCAGCAGCCGCGGUAAUACGUAGGCAGCAAACGUUGUUCGGAAUUACUGGGCGUAAAGAGUGUGUAGGCGGCUUUGUAAGUCUGGUGUGAAAUCUCCCGGCUUAACUGGGAGGGUGCGCUAGAAACUGCAAGGCUAGAGUAUCGGAGAGGAAAGCGGAAUUCCUGGUGUAGCGGUGAAAUGCGUAGAUAUCAGGAGGAACACCGGUGGUGUAGACGGCUUUCUGGACGAUCACUGACGCUGAGACACGAAAGCGUGGGGAGCAAACAGGAUUAGAUACCCUGGUAGUCCACGCCCUAAACGAUGCAUACUUGGUGUGAGUCCUUCAUUGGAUUCGUGCCGGAGCUAACGCGUUAAGUAUGCCGCCUGGGGAGUACGGUCGCCAGGCUG